rnacentral:rRNA from 1 species
UACGGGGGGGGCAAGCGUUGUUCGGAAUUACUGGGCGUAAAGGGCUCGUAGGCGGCCAACUAAGUCGGAUGUGAAAUCCCCAGGCUCAACUUGGGAACUGCCUCCGAUACUGGAUGGCUUGAAUUCGGGAGAGGGAUGCAGAAUUCCAGGUGUAGCGGUGAAAUGCGUAGAUAUCUGGAGGAAUACCGGUGGCGAAGGCGGCAUCCUGGACCGACAUUGACGCUGAGGAGCGAAAGCUAGGGUAGCAAACGGG